UACGUAGGGGGCAAGCGUUGUCCGGAUUUAUUGGGCUUAAAGGGUGCGUAGGUGGCCCUGUAAGUCAGUGGUGAAAUAUCUCAGCUUAACUGAGAGGGUGCCAUUGAUACUGCAGGGCUUGAGUACAGAUGAGGUAGGCGGAAUUGACGGUGUAGCGGUGAAAUGCAUAGAUAUCGUCAAGAACACCGAUAGCGAAGGCAGCUUACCAAGCUGUAACUGACACUGAGGCACGAAAGUGUGGGGAUCAAACAGG
rnacentral:rRNA from 1 species